UGUAGUUCGGUGAUGGCCAGCUUGCUGGUCUGAUCAGUGGCGAACGGGUGAGUAACACGUGAGCAACCUGCCCUCCACUCUGGGAUAAGCCUUGGAAACGAGGUCUAAUACCGGAUAUGACAUUCCUGCGCAUGUGGGGGUGUGGAAAGUUUUUCGGUGGGGGAUGGGCUCGCGGCCUAUCAGCUUGUUGGUGGGGUGAUGGCCUACCAAGGCGACGACGGGUAGCCGGCCUGAGAGGGCGACCGGCCACACUGGGACUGGACACGGCCCAGACUCCUACGGGAGGCAGCAGUGGGGAAUAUUGCACAAUGGGCGAAAGCCUGAUGCAGCGACGCCGCGUGAGGGAUGACGGCCUUCGGGUUGUAACCUCUUUCAGCAGGGAUGAAGCGAAAGUGACGGUACCUGCAGAAGAAGCGCCGGCUAACUACGUGCCAGCAGCCGCGGUAAUACGUAGGGCGCAAGCGGUGUCCGGAAUUAUUGGGCGUAAAGAGCUCGUAGGCGGUUUGUCGCGUCUCUGUGAAAACCUGAGGCAACCUCGGGCUUGCAGUGGGUACGGGCAGACUAGAGUGCGGUAGGGGUGACUGGAAUUCCUGGUGUAGCGGUGGAAUGCGCAGAUAUCAGGAGGAACACCGAUGGCGAAGGCAGGUCACUGGGCCGCAACUGACGCUGAGGAGCGAAAGCAUGGGGAGCGAACAGGAUUAGAUACCCUGGUAGUCCAUGCCGUAAACGUUGGGCACUAGGUGUGGGGCUCAUUCCACGGUUCCGUGCCGCAGCAAACGCAUUAAGUGCCCCGCCUGGGGAGUACGGCCGCAAGGCUAAAACUCAAAGAAAUUGACGGGGGCCCGCACAAGCGGCGGAGCAUGCGGAUUAAUUCGAUGCAACGCGAGAACCUUACCAAGGCUUGACAUACACCGGAAAAGUGCAGAGAUGUGCUCCCCGUAAGGUCGGUGUACAGGUGGCAUGGUUGUCGUCAGCUCGUGUCGUGAGAUGUUGGGUUAAGUCCCGCAACGAGCGGACCCUCGUUUCAUUGCCAGCGGG
rnacentral:rRNA from 1 species